rnacentral:rRNA from 1 species
AUGUCUUCCUCCUCCGGUGCCGCCCAGUCCAAUCUCAAUGGGCAGGUCAUCGAGAAGCUUUCCCGCAUGCACUACGUGCUGUGGCGCACGCAGAUCACACCCCAACUGCGUGGCGCCAGUGUCUUCGACUACAUCGACGACACAUCACCGGAGCCGGCCAAGCUCCGCGCCGCCAAGGACAAGGACGGCAAGGACACCUUCGAGCCCAACCCUCUCCACCCUCUCUGGGUCAGGGAGGACCAGCAGGUGCUCGACUUCCUCCUCAGCAACCACUCCAAGGAGGUGCUGGUCACGGUGACCACGGUCACCAUGGCGAAGGCGCUCUGGACGACGCUGGCGGGCAUGUACUCGUCGCAGUCGCUAAGCCGCGUCAACAACAUCCGGACCUCCCUCAUCAACGCACAGAAAGGUACCCAAUCCGCCGCCACCUACUUCGCCUACAUGCGUGGCCUCGCCGACGAGCUGGCCGCGGCGGGCAAGCCGAUCCAGGAUGAUGAGCUGAUCUCCUAUAUCCUCCAUGGGCUGGAUCUGGAGUACCAGCCCCUGGUCUCAGCCCUCGACGCCCGCGUCUCACCCGCCUCCCUCGAUGAGAUCUUCGCCACGCUCAGCAACUUCGACCAACGCAUG